rnacentral:rRNA from 1 species
GUCGCUGAGUCUUGUGUAGGCUCGGAGGCGCAAUGAAAGUGAAGGCCGAUCUGGGCGUCGGCUGCGGUGUGAUCCAUUGGGCACUAUCCCGUCGCUCCCCAAGGGAAGGCGGGGCCCGUGGCGCAACACCGGCCCGUCCCGUCCGCAACGUCGGUGGGGCGGAGCGAGAGCGUACACGUUGGGACCCGAAAGAUGGUGAACUAUGCCUGGGCAGGACGAAGCCAGAGGAAACUCUGGUGGAGGUCCGCAGCGAUUCUGACGUGCAAAUCGAUCGUCAGACCUGGGUAUAGGGGCGAAAGACUAAUCGAACCAUCUAGUAGCUGGUUCCCUCCGAAGUUUCCCUCAGGAUAGCUGGCGCUCGAGGGAAGCAGUCUCAUCCGGUAAAGCGAAUGAUUAGAGGCCUUGGGGCCGAAACGACCUCAACCUAUUCUCAAACUUUCAAUGGGUGAGAAGUCCGGCUUGCUCGACUGAAGCCCGGACGUCCCAGGAUGCGAGUGCCCAGUGGGCCACUUUUGGUAAGCAGAACUGGC